AUUAACUUCAGAACAAACAAGAGAAAGAAAUGUACCUUUUUUCGCACGCCAGGCAUGGUACUUGGUACAAUCUUUCUUCACAUGAUUAGUCCCCUUAUAAAAAAAAACAACCUAAUUCAGUGAUUUCAACCUUAGGUUCCUUAUGUUGCUUAAUCUUGUGCUUUGCAACCGCAACUUCCUUACCCUUCCUCUUCUUAGUUUCCUUAGAAGAGGAUGCCAAAU
rnacentral:lncRNA from 1 species